rnacentral:lncRNA from 1 species
GAACGUAUCAUUAACCAUGCUGCAGGCAGCCAUGGAGUCUCUGGGAUAUUUAUGAAAUAUGAUCUCAGUUCUCUUAUGGUGACAGUUACUGAGGAGCACAUGCCAUUCUGGCAGUUUUUUGCAUGUUACAUGGAAUUGGAAAAUUUAUAGUUGAAAUAAUUUGCUGUCGUUUCAGACUUGGAUCCUAUAAACCUGUCAAUUCUGUUCCUUUUGAGGAUGGCCACACAGACAACCACUUACCUCUUUUAGAAAAUAAUACACAUUAACACCUCCCGAUUGAAGGAGAAAAACUUUUUGCCUGAGACAUAAAACCUUUUUUUAAUAAUAAAAUAUUGUGCAAUAUAUUCAAAGAAAAGAAAACACAAAUAAGCAGAAAACAUACUUAUUUUAAAAAAGAAAAAAAAGGAUAAAAAAACCCAAACUGAAAUUCUAUAUACGUUGUGUCUGUUACAAAUGUCGUAGAAGAAAUCAUGCAGCUAAACGAUGAAGAAGCCCAACUGGAGUGUUGCUUUGAAGAUGACGCCUUCUUAUAUUUUCAUAGCAAAUGGGUGGUAUCAAAAUCAGA